AAAAUCCGUCGACUUUAUAAGUCGUGAGG
rnacentral:tRNA from 1 species